CCUACGGGUGGCAGCAGUGGGGAAUAUUGCACAAUGGGGGAAACCCUGAUGCAGCGACGCCGCGUGAGUGAAGAAGUAUUUCGGUAUGUAAAGCUCUAUCAGCAGGGAAGAAAAUGACGGUACCUGUUUAAGAAGCCACGGCUAACUACGUGCCAGCAGCCGCGGUAAUACGUAGGGGGCAAGCGUUAUCCGGAUUUACUGGGUGUAAGGGGAGCGUAGACGGCAGCACAAGUCUGGAGUGAAAUGCCCGGGCUUAACCCCGGAACUGCAUGGGAAACUGGGCAGCUAGAGUGCAGGAGAGGUAAGUGGAAUUCCUAGUGUAGCGGUGAAAUGCGUAGAUAUGAGGAGGAACACCAGUGGCGAAGGCGGCUUACUGGACUGAAACUGACGUUGAGGCUCGAAAGCGUGGGGAGCAAACAGGAUUAGAUACCCGAGUAGUC
rnacentral:rRNA from 1 species